UGGGGAAUCUUGGACAAUGGGCGCAAGCCUGAUCCAGCCAUGCCGCGUGAGUGAUGAAGGCCUUAGGGUUGUAAAACUCUUUCGCCGAGGACGAUAAUGACGGUACUCGGAGAAGAAGCUCCGGCUAACUUCGUGCCAGCAGCCGCGGUAAUACGAAGGGGGCUAGCGUUGUUCGGAUUUACUGGGCGUAAAGCGCGUGUAGGCGGGUCGUUAAGUUGGGGGUGAAAUCCCGAGGCUCAACCUCGGAACUGCCUCCAAAACUGGCGACCUGGAGCAGAUGAGAGGCGAGUGGAAUUCCGAGUGUAGAGGUGAAAUUCGUAGAUAUCGGGAGGAGCAUCAGUGGCGAAGGCGGCCCUCUGGUCCAGUACUGACACUCAAGUGCGAAAGCGUGGGGAGCAAACAGGAUUAGAUACCCCCGUAGUCCCUGAGCGGGCUGGCAAGGCGCAU
rnacentral:rRNA from 1 species